rnacentral:lncRNA from 1 species
UUUGACAUUGGCAGUUAUUUCUUAUUUAGUGGAGGUCGUCGUAACAGCGUAACUGUGCCUAAGGUAAAAAGGGAAUGCGUUUAAUAUUUGCAGAAAUAGUUGUAGGUAUUUUUUAUUUCAAGCCAGAAGGGUAUUGUCGUGUAUUACAUUUGGUUUCACUUGAGCCAUAAGUCGCUUUCAUAUAAUGUUUUGUUGGUCUGUCACAUAUAUUCUAUAUAUAUAUAUAUAUAUA